GUGAUAAAUUGAUCUGUAAAUUCUAUUUGUAAAUUCUUAUCUAUUUAUUUGAAUAAAAUUUAAUAAAUUUCAUAAAUUUAAAAGUGGAAAUUUUCAAAUAAAUUUUUAUGUAAACCAAAGAAAUUAAAAUAAGUAUUUGUCUUAGCUUAAACCGAUCUAGUGUAAAAGCCUACUACAUUCAGGAUUCGAACCUAAGCCCAUCA
rnacentral:misc_RNA from 1 species